UAAAGAUAUUAUUGAGACAGCAGGAGAUCGAUUUUACGACAAUGUUGUGGAGGAAUUUCUCGACGCACUCAAACAAAACAUCACUGGAGAGUGGUCUGAUCAAGUUGUGAAAUGGGAGAAAUGCAGCAAUAACAAGGUCGCUUGUCCUGAUGUCUACGCACUCUUUGAUGGUGAUGGACAUCAAGUGCCUCAAGAUCUAGUGGAAAAAGUUGGUAAGGUGUUUGAA